CGCACCUGCGACCCUAAAGUUUUUUAAUCAAAACCGUUUUCCCUCGCCCGACUCAUCGGAAUUUCGUUUACGCUGUACAAAUGACCAACCGUAACUGCAAAAUCUAAAACGAAAGUCCUCAGGAAUUUCAAAUUCUGUUACAUGGCACGUAUCCAUUAUACUAUUAUACGUACCGUACGCGUUGAUUGUAAUAAUAUUAUUGUUACCGAUGAAGACUUAUAGAAAAAAAUAAAUAUAAUAAUACAAUUUUAAUGCCAUCUGUUAUAAGGAAAAUACAUUGAACUCGAUUUAAUACUUGGUAGAAAAUGUAUCUGUUUCUACACCACACCAACCAUAUACCGUAUAUUUUCGUAACGAUUACUGAUGGUUUUUGCGUGUGAUAAUAUUCGAAAUACAUCCAAUUCAAUAUUCAUGAUCCAUUAUAAUAUUAUGAUUCAUACAUGUAUUGUAAACAUGAAACUGCAGAUAUUGAGCAGACUUUCAGACGGAAAUUUGUACCGGUACUUGUAUAGAGAAAACUAGAAAUUUGUGUUAGAUCGAGCCAAAAUGCAUCGAUAUCAUUUUCCACCAAAAAAAAGUUCUAGUUAGUAAUUACAAAUUAAUUUACCUAAUCAAAAUAUAGGCGAGUUAAUUAUUUAACAAUGAGUUAACAAGUUUCCAAUACAACUCGAUAGUAAGUUGAUGGUUAAAUGAUAAUUUUAACUAACGUCGUCUAAACCAACAAUAUUAGUCAUUG